ensembl:lncRNA
AUUGGUCGUCAUGAAAAAAAACAUAAGGGGUAACACUGUUGUUUUUUAUUGGUCGUCAUGAAAAAUAACAUAAGGGGUAACACUGUUGUUUUUUAUUGGUCGUCAUGAAAAAAAACAUAAGGGGGCUAACACUGUCGUAUUAGAUUGGUCGUCAUGAAAAAAAACAUAUUUAAAAAAAAAAAAAAAAGGGUCCUUGUCAAAUAAAAUAUAAGGGGUAACACUGUUGUUUUUCAUCAGUCAUCAUGGGAAAAAAACAUAUGGGGUAACACUGUCGAAAUGUAUCGAAAAAAAACAUAGGGGGUAACACCAGGGACGCGGGAAGUCAGUCCGAGGGGAGGGUUCUGAGACUGAGAGAGAGUCAAUAUAAUGACGUCAUAAUAAAUGCUGUGCAACAUCCAUUGUUUGCAGAGACGAGAUGACGGGAGACGUCACAUUCAGGGCUCCGCUCUGACAAACACUCUAGCCUACUCUUGUGUAAAAAGAGUUCUGCCAAGAGUUCUCCCCGUCCGGGAUUAUACACAGCGUUAUAACAAGGAUCCAGGAGGUUAUUUCUAAAGGUUUACAAAGGAAAGUGACAAUAAAAGAAAGCCUUCAUUUUCAUCCAGAGCUAUGAGUUGUCUGAUAUGAGGAAAGUGACGGUUUCUCGGUCAAGUGAACCGUCCGUCUUUGCUCUUUUUUUGCCAACCAGUUUAUGUGCGGGAUUCCAGAAUCAAAACGAUAACAUUCAAAAUGUCUAUUAAUAUGGCAGCAACAUUUUACACCAGUUUUAGAAUGUUCACUACAACAGAUAUUGAACACCAACAUGCUUAUGUAAAAUCAGCAUAGUACAAUAUUCAGCUAUGGACAGUUGCGUUGUGCGUCAUAGCCUAUACGUCAG